GAGGUCCCACCUGCCCUGUGACUUUUAGUUUAACGGCCGCGGUAUCCUAACCGUGCGAAGGUAGCGCAAUCAAUUGCCUUUUAAAUGAAGGCCUGUAUGAAUGGUAUAACGAGGGUCUAACUGUCUCUUUUUUCUAGUCAGUUAAACUGAUCUGUCCGUGCAGAAGCGGACAUUUUUAUACAAGACGAGAAGACCCUAUGGAGCUUUAGACGCUAGCCAAUUAUGAACAAGCAGCUUAAAAAUAUACAAGCCUCAAGCACCCAUAAAUUAUGGCAAGGCGGUCUUAGGUUGGGGCGACCGCGGGAGAAAACAAAGCUCCCAAGCAGACUGGGGAAACCCUCAAGCCAAGAGUUACAACUCUAAGCCACAAAAACUUUGACUGAAAUGAUCCGAUCAAAAGAUCGAUUAACGGACCAAGUUACCCUAGGGAUAACAGCGCAAUCCCCUCCCAGAGUCCCUAUCGACGAGGGGGUUUACGACCUCGAUGUUGGAUCAGGACAUCCUAAUGGUGCAGCCGCUAUUAA
rnacentral:rRNA from 1 species